GGGGGCGUAUAGCUUUGACAGGGGUCAGAGAAAGUAAAUCGCGAGUCCAGGUAGCCUAGGUCCUGGUAAAACCAAGGUAAACAAUAAGUGCAGAAAACACUGAGUUCACUGCAGUUGAGGUUGCUACUACUAGCAAGCUCAUGGCUGCAUAGUCCCGACAAACUGCGGACAAACUACUUGUUAAUUAGGGGCUAACCCACUAGCUAGCAAGUCACAAACACGGUUAGUGCGAGAAACAAACUUUGAUAGGUUUAGUUUGUGGAUCUAAGAACAUAAGCCUAGAACCCGUUGAGUGUCUAUUCUCAUGUGAACGGUAACAUCACAGAUCAAUAGACUACACUCGUAGUGCUUUAUUUUUGAAAGCCUUUGGACGCGGGGGGCAGUUCCCCGCCGCCUCCACCA
rnacentral:tmRNA from 1 species